rnacentral:rRNA from 1 species
AGAGUUUGAUCAUGGCUCAGAAUCAACGCUGGCGGCGNNNUUAACACAUGCAAGUCGAACGAGAAAGUGGAGCAAUCCAUGAGUACAGUGGCGUACGGGUGAGUAACACGUGGGUAAUCUACCUUUUAGUGUGGAAUAACCCUGGGAAACCGGGGCUAAUACCGCAUAAGCUCGAGAGAGGAAAGUCGCAAGACGCUGAAAGAGGAGCCCGCGGCCGAUUAGCUAGUUGGCAGGGUAAGAGCCUACCAAGGCAGAGAUCGGUAGCCGGCCUGAGAGGGCACACGGCCACACUGGCACUGAAACACGGGCCAGACUCCUACGGGAGGCAGCAGUGGGGAAUCUUGCACAAUGGGGGCAACCCUGAUGCAGCGACGCCGCGUGAGCGAUGAAGCCCUUCGGGUGUAAAGCUCUUUCGUCAGGGACGAUAAUGACGGUACCUGGAGAAGCAGCUGCGGCUAACUACGUGCCAGCAGCCGCGGUAAUACGUAGGCAGCGAGCGUUGUUCGGAGUUACUGGGCGUAAAGGGUGUGUAGGCGGUUGUUUAAGUUUGGUGUGAAAUCUCCCGGCUCAACUGGGAGGGUGCGCCGAAUACUGAAUGACUAGAGUGCGGAGAGGAAAGUGGAAUUCCUGGUGUAGCGAAAUGCGUAGAUAUCAGGAGGAACACCGGUGGUGUAGACGGCUUUCUGGACCGUAACUGACGCUGAGACACGAAAGCNNGGGUAGCAAACAGGAUUAGAUACCCUAGUAGUCC